UACGGAGGGAGCUAGCGUUGUUCGGAGUUACUGGGCGUAAAGCGCACGUAGGCGGCUUUGUAAGUUAGAGGUGAAAGCCCGGGGCUCAACUCCGGAACUGCCUUUAAGACUGCAUCGCUUGAAUCCAGGAGAGGUGAGUGGAAUUCCGAGUGUAGAGGUGAAAUUCGUAGAUAUUCGGAAGAACACCAGUGGCGAAGGCGGCUCACUGGACUGGUAUUGACGCUGAAGAGCGAAAGCGUGGGGAGCAAACAGG
rnacentral:rRNA from 1 species